rnacentral:sRNA from 1 species
AGUUAACUGAUGAUUUUCAGUUUUGAAAACGUGGUGCAUUUCUUUUCUGCUUAGUUCAAACCUAAAGGCAAUUGUUUGAUUAGAAAUGAAGUCUAUUGGUGUAAAGACUGUCAAGGUUUGUGGGUCAAAGAGCUCUGUACGCAUAGAAGGUCAGCCAUGUUCAUUAGGCCAGAGUAGAAGGAAAGUCAAGCUUAUGGGUGAAUGGUCGUAUACUCUUUCAAUUGGCAACGGAGACUACUUUUGGACAAAUAAAGAAAUGCUGUGGGAUUAUAUGCAGACUCUGUCUGAUCAGGGAGCAGAGAAACAUGAAGGCACAGGUCAGUCCUCUGGGAUCACUGAUCAAGAGAAGGAGUUAUCCACCAAUGCUUUCCAAGCUUUCACAUCUGGAAAUUAUGAUGCCUGUCUACAACACCUUGCCUGUCUACAAGAUAUAAACAAAGAUGAUUAUAAAAUAAUUUUGAAUACAGCAGUAGCUGAGUUUUUUAAAAGUAACCAAACAACAACAGAUAAUUUGAGACAAACACUUAACCAGCUGAAGAAUCAGGUCCACUCAGCUGUUGAAGAAAUGGAUGGAUUAGAUGAUGUUGAAAACAGCAUGUUGUACUAUAAUCAAGCAGUCAUUCUUUAUCAUCUGCGGCAGUAUACAGAAGCCAUAUCAGUUGGUGAAAAACUUUAUCAGUUCAUAGAGCCUU